CACUCCGAUGGCCUAGUGGUUAAAGCGCCCUUCUCGUAUGCGGGAGGUCGCGAGUUCGAACCCCAGUCGAGUCA